rnacentral:rRNA from 1 species
UACACUCCUGCGGGAGGCAGCAGUGGGGAAUUUUGGACAAUGGGCGAAAGCCUGAUCCAGCCAUGCCGCGUGCAGGAUGAAGGCCUUCGGGUUGUAAACUGCUUUUGUACGGAACGAAACGGCCUUUUCUAAUAAAGAGGGCUAAUGACGGUACCGUAAGAAUAAGCACCGGCUAACUACGUGCCAGCAGCCGCGGUAAUACGUAGGGUGCAAGCGUUAAUCGGAAUUACUGGGCGUAAAGCGUGCGCAGGCGGUUAUGUAAGACAGUUGUGAAAUCCCCGGGCUCAACCUGGGAACUGCAUCUGUGACUGCAUGGCUAGAGUACGGUAGAGGGGGAUGGAAUUCCGCGUGUAGCAGUGAAAUGCGUAGAUAUGCGGAGGAACACCGAUGGCGAAGGCAAUCCCCUGGACCUGUACUGACGCUCAUGCACGAAAGCGUGGGGAGCAAACAGGAUUAGAUACCCUUGUAGUCCCAUG